UGUCUAGGGGCUCAAACCUAAAGAACCCAAAUAUCUAAACGGAGAGAUUCAAUACUGAAUUUAACACUCAGUGUGCACUUCUCUCUUAGUAAGACGCCGUGAUCCAUUAGAAAUUGGUAGACGCCAGUCUAUAUUGGGUCAUCAAUGAGCUUGCAUGAAGUUUAUUGGAACAAAUGGCAAAAUCUUUCAACGGUUGUGUGUAUUGUCUGGUAAGCAUGCGAGUACUCGGUAUGACUGUCUGAUGGAUUUUAAAGAUUAUAUCAUUGAUGUUACGGCAUCACUUGCUUCGGCGAGAUUUUUUCGAUAUAUAUCCGAUCAACGGCGGUUAAAUUUGGGAUACCUUUUGGACCCGUCUUGAAACACGGACCAAGGAGUCUAUCUAAUGUGCGAGUAAAUGAGUAGUUUAUGAAACUUAUUUGCAUAAUAAACGUAACUAUAUUAUGGGAUUACGAGUCUUUAUCCAAAAGAGGAGGCUCUUCCAUCCCGGAGUAUUUUCAUCCACAUAUACGCAAGUAUAUGGAAGAUAUAUCAUGAGUAUAUUGGAUACGACCCGAAAGAUGGUGAACUAUGCUUGAUCAGGUCGAAGUCAGGGGAAACCCUGAUGGAGGACCGAAGCAGUUCUGACGUGCAAAUCGAUUGUCAGAAUUGAGCAUAGGGGCGAAAGACCAAUCGAACCAUC
rnacentral:rRNA from 1 species